UGGGGAAUUUCGGACAAUGGGCGCAAGCCUGAUCCAGCCAUGCCGCGUGCGGGAAGAAGGCCUUCGGGUUGUAAACCGCUUUUGUCAGGGAAGAAACGCUCUGGGCUAAUACCCUGGGGUAAUGACGGUACCUGAAGAAUAAGCACCGGCUAACUACGUGCCAGCAGCCGCGGUAAUACGUAGGGUGCAAGCGUUAAUCGGAAUUACUGGGCGUAAAGCGUGCGCAGGCGGUUAUGCAAGACAGAUGUGAAAUCCCCGGGCUCAACCUGGGAACUGCAUUUGUGACUGUAUAGCUAGAGUACGGUAGAGGGGGAUGGAAUUCCGCGUGUAGCAGUGAAAUGCGUAGAUAUGCGGAGGAACACCGAUGGCGAAGGCAAUCCCCUGGACCUGUACUGACGCUCAUGCACGAAAGCGUGGGGAGCAAACAGGAUUAGAUACCCAAGUAGUCCCUGAGCGGGCUGGCAAGGCGCAU
rnacentral:rRNA from 1 species